UACGUAGGAUGCAAGCGUUGUCCGGAAUUACUGGGCGUAAAGCGCGUGUAGGCGGUUGCCAUAGUCAGGUGUGAAAGCCUUGAGCUUAACUCAAGAAAUGCACUUGAUACUGGGCGACUAGAGGACCGGAGAGGAUAGUGGAAUUCCCAGUGUAGUGGUGAAAUACGUAGAGAUUGGGAAGAACACCAGUGGCGAAGGCGGCUAUCUGGACGGUUACUGACGCUAAGACGCGAAAGCGUGGGGAGCAAACAGG
rnacentral:rRNA from 1 species